rnacentral:rRNA from 1 species
ACGCUCGACACCUACGGGAGGCAGCAGGUGGGGAAUAUUGCACAAUGGGGGAAACCCUGAUGCAGCAACGCCGCGUGAAGGAAGACGGUUUUCGGAUUGUAAACUUCUGUUCUUAGUGAAGAUAGUGACGGUAGCUAAGGAGCAAGCCACGGCUAACUACGUGCGAGCAGCCGCGGUAAUCUGAGCGGGCUGGCAAGGC